UUUCUCAAUGGGGGAAACCCUGAAGGAGCGACGCCGCGUGGGGGAUGACUGGCUUCGGCCCGUAAACCCCUGUAAUUUGCAAACAAACCUUUUCCGAUAACACCGGAAGAACUGAUUGUAGCGAAAGACGAAGGGACGGCUAACUCUGUGCCAGCAGCCGCGGUAAUACACACGUCCCAAGCCUUGUUCGGCUUCACUGGGCGUAAAGGGUGCGUAGGCGGUCGGGUAAGUCUGAUGUGAAAUCUCCGAGCUCAACUCGGAAAUGGCAUUGGAUACUAUUCGGCUAGAGAAUCGGAGGGGGGACUGGAAUACUUGGUGUAGCAGUGAAAUGCGUAGAUAUCAAGUGGAACACCAGUGGCGAAGGCGAGUCCCUGGACGAUUUCUGACGCUGAGGCACGAAAGCUAGGGGAGCAAACAGGAUUAGAUACCCUGGUAGUCCUAGCUGUAAACGGUGCGUAUUUGCUGUAAAAGGAAUCGACCCCUUUUGUGGCGAAGCAAACGCGUUAAAUACGCCGCCUGGGAAGUACGGUCGCAAGAUUAAAACUCAAAGAAAUUGACGGGGGCCUGCACAAGCGGGUGGAGUAUGUGGCUUAAUUCGAUGCAACGCGAAGAACCUUACCUGGCCUUGACAUGCAAGUAGUAGAACCAUGAAAGUGGGACGAGGUAGCAAUACCAGCUUGCACAGGUGCUGCAUGGCUGUCGUCAGCUCGUGUCGUGAGAUGUUGGGUUAAGUCCCGCAACGAGGGCAACCCCUGUGUCCUGUUGCCACCCGAACGAGAGUUUGGAGCACUCUGGACAGACUGCCUUGCUUAAACGAGGAGGAAGGUGGGGAUGACGUCAAGUCAGUAUGGCCUUACGGCCAGGGCUGCACACGUACUACAAUGCCCGGCACAAAGGGAAGCGAGACCGCAAGGUGGAGCAAAUCCCCAAAAACCGGGCCCAGUUCAGAUUGACGUCUGCAACUCGACGGCAUGAAGCUGGAAUCGCU
rnacentral:rRNA from 1 species